GUGAACUGAACUAAAUUGACACUCUUAUAAUUGAUAGGUAAUAACUGUACCCAUCUUUUUAUUUAAUUAUAUAUAUCAUCAUCCAGAUUGUAGACACUUACCCAUAAUAAUCAGGAUUUCUCCCAUAUUGAGGAAUAACAAUAAGAUCAAGAUUGUCAUUCCCAACAUCAUCAUCAGCAAUACUGGAAGGGGGGAGUAAGUAACCUUCUGACGGAUCGCUCAUACCUAAAAAUUUUAUAUUGAAAAAUAUAUUCAUAAAUGCAUAUAUUAAAAAAAGAAUUAUAAAUGAUAUUCAACUGAAGUUGGCCCUUCUCAAAAAAGAAACUGAAGUAGGCCUAAA
rnacentral:lncRNA from 1 species